AUGGUGAGAAAAUGCAAAAAUAUACCAAUUCCACGUGAGAGGAACGUGGGGACACACAACGCGGUGCGGACUGCGGAGAGGGGACCAACAGCUGGACCAUUCCUGUGGCAUGGGAGGGAGCGUGGAACAGCUGUAUGGUCCGACGGCGUGGGCGGGCGGCACCGCCAUGUCCACGUGAUCAGAGCCGUUCUUUCCCACGCGUGGACAAAAUCUGGCCGUUCGUUUCCUAGGUGGUUCCGUCCUUACCUGGUCGUGGAAUCCACGACGCCCUCCCCGAUCCCCUUUCGCUCCCCCUUCCGAUCGGCGAUUCGGCGGCGGCGUUGGAGCCGUCGCCGGUUCCCCGCCCCCCCUUCUUCUCCCUUCCCUCACGGCGGAAUCGGGGCGGAUGGCGCGUUCGAGCCGACGCCGUUGUCUUCCCUCCCCCUUUUUCUCCCUCUCCUCUCCCUCCUACCUCACCUUGUGGCAGCGCCGCUGGGGGCAGGACGGAUGAGGCGCCCGUCGGAGCCGGCCCAGGUGCUCCCUUCCUCCUUCUCCCUUCACUUGCGCCGGCGGCGGCGGUUGCGACGAGGGAGGACAGAUGCGGCGCCCGUCGUUGGUGUUGCCGCCGACCCGCCGUGUCCCCUCCCUUCUUCUCCCUCCCCUUCUGGCAGCGGCGGCGAGGGACCUGCAGUGGCGGCAGCCUUCUUCGCUCGUCUCUCUCCUAUCCGUCCCCUGCGUCGUCGUCCUCCGGCCACCGCCGUCCUCUGCCAGCAGCUCCUCCGGCCCCCUCCACUCUGCCCAUCCACUCCACUCUUCCCUCCUACCCAAAUCUACGGCGCCGCUCCGUGGUCGGCAGCUCAAUUCCUCGCCGGAUCUGACAGUUUGACUGGUGGAGAAAGAAGAAGCGGGCUGCCCGCGAGGAUGGAGGAAGCGGAUUGGCAGAAGUUGGCCGUUGAGAUCUCCGUCAAACCUGUCCCCUUCAAGCAUCCGGGUCCGACAUCCUCCGCGCAUGGUCUGUGACAGCUUGGUAUAAUGAAGAAUUAGAAAGGAUUCAGUUCUCUCCUUCCUGUUCUAUUCUUUCAGCAAUGGUUCAGGUCAACAAAAAAAUUUUGGUCGAGUUAAGCAACAAAGGUUCAGUUCUUAUCCUUCCAGUUCUCCUUCUGUCUUGAAUGUUCUUGAAGGAGCUAUAAGUGGAACAGAUACAUUGAGAUCACUCCCAGUUGGAUCAUCAGCAGCAGGAAAGGUUCCGCCACUACCAGUUUUAUGAUCUUGUUUAUAAUGGGAUGGCUAUUUUUCUAUUUAUAGGUUGACAAGAAAUGUGCUCUUUUUUUAAUGGUGUAACAAUAAGUGAAGAACAAGCUCGGUCAGGCAUUGUAGUCAGAGACUCAGAGUCACCUCAGCCGCACAAAGUAAAUUUAAGAUAUGAGGUUGAUUAUUCCUUCGGUUGCUCUGGAAUUGAAGCUACUUUUCUUCGAACAAGAAAUUGAUGGAGGUUAUGGACUAGCUCUGCAGGCAUCCAAGCUGAGGUGAAUCACAUGAGACAAAAUGGCAGUCUUGCUUUCAAUGAAAGCCUUGUUGCUGGUAUAUUUCUUCAUUUUGCCGGUGCAAGACCCACACUGGUCUUCCAGACCAUGGAAUGGUAGUGCAUCAAUAGGGCUGCAGCAGGGUGACACACCAGCACCACGGUUAUUGGAUUCAGGAGUUUGCCAAGGAGCAGCAAUUAAAUGAUUAGCUUCCACCUUUAAUUUUGCUGGCAGGUAGUCUGUCGAGGGCUUCUUUUUUCCAGUUAUGGCAAUGUAGAGCACUUUUCAGAGUUUAAUAUGACACAAAGGCUUCAGGGAACAUAUAUAGUCAACUGCUUGGACCAAAGCUGCCAUUCAUACUGCUGUGCUUUUGUUGUGGAUUGAACUAGCAGGAGAGAAGAAUGCACAUGAACUUAUAAAUGGACCAUUUCCGGUAGCCACGAGUUCUCACUAGAAAAAGGCAGCUACUUUAUUUGUCCUGUAUAUUAGUGUGUUGUUUAUUAAUCAAUGUAAAUGAUCACUGACGGAGUACAUGUAUAUGUAUUAAUCACCUAAUCGUUCUGUAAUAUUUUCUGUUUAAUUUUUUUUGCUGCGCGGCGUAGCGCACAAACCCUUUCUAGUACUAGAGCCUGGGGCGCGCCUAUUGCGCGCCUCUUGUAAGCAGUUCGGUUUAAUUAAUUGUCUACAACAGAAUUUUACAUGCAAAAGUCUAAAGGAUAACAGCUAGCUUGUAUGGGGAAA